rnacentral:tRNA from 2 species
CGCAGCGUGGAGCAGUGGUAGCUCGCGGGGCUCAUAAUCCCGAGGUCGCCGGUUCGAGUCCGGCCGCUGCAACCA